UACGGGGGGGGCAAGCGUUGUUCGGAAUUACUGGGCGUAAAGGGCGCGUAGGCGGCGUGGUAAGUCAGCUGUGAAAUCUCCGAGCUUAACUCGGAACGGUCAGCUGAUACUGCUGUGCUAGAGUACAGAAGGGGCAAUCGGAAUUCUUGGUGUAGCGGUGAAAUGCGUGGAUAUCAAGAGGAACACCUGAGGUGAAGACGGGUUGCUGGGCUGAUACUGACGCUGAAGCGCGAAAGCUAGGGUAGCAAACGGG
rnacentral:rRNA from 1 species